rnacentral:rRNA from 1 species
UGGGGAAUAUUGGACAAUGGGGGCAACCCUGAUCCAGCCAUGCCGCGUGAGUGAUGAAGGCCUUCGGGCUGUAAAGCUCUUUUGGCGGGGACGAUGAUGACGGUACCCGCAGAAUAAGCCCCGGCUAACUUCGUGCCAGCAGCCGCGGUAAGACGAAGGGGGCUAGCGUUGUUCGGAAUUACUGGGCGUAAAGCGCGUGUAGGCGGUUGUCCAAGUCGGGUGUGAAAGCCUUGAGCUCAACUCAAGAAAUGCACUCGAUACUGGGCGACUAGAGGACCGGAGAGGAUAGUGGAAUUCCCAGUGUAGUGGUGAAAUACGUAGAGAUUGGGAAGAACACCAGUGGCGAAGGCGGCUAUCUGGACGGUUACUGACGCUAAGACGCGAAAGCGUGGGGAGCAAACA